CCUACGGGUGGCAGCAGUGAGGAAUAUUGGUCAAUGGACGAGAGUCUGAACCAGCCAAGUAGCGUGAAGGAUGACUGCCCUAUGGGUUGUAAACUUCUUUUUAAAGGAAUAAAACGAGGCACGUGUGCCUUUUUGCAUGUACUUUAUGAAUAAGGAACGGCUAACUCCGUGCCAGCAGCCGUGGUAAUACGGAGGAUCCGAGCGUUAUCCGGAUUUAUUGGGGUUAAAGGGAGCGUAGAUGGGUUGUUAAGUCAGUUGUGAAAGUUUGCGGGUCAACCGUAAAAUUGCAAUUGAUACUGGCAGUCUUGAGUACAGUUGAGGUAGGCGGAAUUCGUGGUGUAGCGGUGAAAUGCUUAGAUAUCACGAAGAACCCCGAUUGCGAAGGCAGCUUACUAAACUGUGACUGACAUUGAUGCUCGAAAGUGUGGGUAUCAAACAGGAUUAGAUACCCCUGUAGUC
rnacentral:rRNA from 1 species